GAUGAACGCUGGCGGCGUGCUUAACACAUGCAAGUCGAACGGAAUUAAAGAGCUUGCUCUUUGAUUUAGUGGCGCACGGGUGAGUAACGCGUAGAUAAUCUGCCUGACGAUCUGGGAUAACACUUCGAAAGAGGUGCUAAUACCGGAUAAGCCCACGGGUUCUUUGGAAUCUGCGGGAAAAGGGGGGGACCUUCGGGCCUUCUGUUGUCAGAUGAGUCUGCGUACCAUUAGCUAGUUGGUAGGGUAAAGGCCUACCAAGGCGCCGAUGGUUAGCGGGUCUGAGAGUAUGAUCAGCCACACUGGAACUGAGACACGGUCCAGACUCCUACGGGAGGCAGCAGUGGGGAAGUUUGCGCAAUGGGCGAAAGCCGGACACAGCAACGCCGCGUGAGUGAUGAAGGCUUUCGGGUCUUAAAGCUCUGUCAAUGGGAAAGAAGUGUAUUUUGGCUAAUAUCCUUAAUACUUGACGGUACCCAUAAAGGAAGCACCGGCUAACUCCGUGCCAGCAGCCGCCGUAACAC
rnacentral:rRNA from 1 species